rfam:Helianthus annuus linkage group 17, whole genome shotgun sequence.
UCCAAUGAUGAUGUAAUCCAAUUGUAUGAGGUACGUGGAUCCAAGACCCUGUUUACAGGGAGAACCACUUGGUUGAAGCUGUAUUUCAAUUGAUAUUACUGGAUUUCACUGAGGA